AAGAGCUCACCUUUCAGAGAAAUAUUACCACAGUCUUCUUGACCAUCUGUAAGACAGUCUGCUGAAGUUGUGAAGACGUGAGAGUGUGACAUCUGAAACCAUGCUGAAGGUAUUUGUGCUUGGAUGCCUCCUGUGCCUCACUCUGGCCAAUCCCAUGGACAUGGGACACAAACGAGUCGCCCGCUCGGGGUCUGUCUCCAGAGAGCAUACCUCCUCAUCCUCGUCUACCCCGAGUCCACAGCAGUGGCUCCAGAUCUUUCUUGCCUUGCUCAAGCAACAACAAACUACAACUACUACAGCUGCUACUACUACAAAAUAAAACCUGAGAUGUAACCACAGGUCAUUAAGUGAAUGAAAACCUGUGUUAACAGAGAUAGAUUUUGACCUCAGUGCUGUUUUGGUCAGUGUGUCAUGUUUUACUGAUGAGAGCUCUCUGUAGUAUCUGCUAAAUAAACUUCAUAAGCAGAAA